rnacentral:lncRNA from 1 species
UCGAGAGUGAACCGACAUGAGCAAGUCAUAUUAGAUUAAUUGAUCUAAUUGGUAUCUAGGAAAGCAUGAAAGGUGGUUACUUAAUUAGGACCUUACUCUCUGAGUAAGGGGAGCCUCCCACCUGCUUACCUGGCCAAUUGUUNNNNNNNNNNNNAUGAAGGGCUCAAGUUGCAAACACUAAGACCUGAUUAACCAAUAUUAAGUCAAUAGGUCUUCCACUGUAGUAGAGCUGCUAAGGCCUUUCUGAUGUUGAUUUGUCUCGGCUGGACACAGUGGUCAAGUUGCAUCGGGGGGCUGGACCUCUCUAUAGACAUGAGAUGUUGUAGGGUAAAGGUGGGGUUGGGCACUAAUAACUGUUAGGUGAGGACCCAAUGACGACUUUAUUCCUACGGUUAUACGGUGGGUCUGACUUAACUAAGAAAUGGGACCAAUAACUGUUAGGUGAGGUUUUCAUGGCUUAGAGACCAAGUUGCACUGCAACAUGCUUGAGAAGCAUUGUACAAGAGUUGUACAUUCAUCAAUCUAUGUGUCACCAAUAACUAUUAGGUGAGGUGGCAUGUAAAUUGGUGGGACCGCAGUACCCACUAGAAACCCUAGUCGUGUGGGAUUUCCGUUUUCCUACCAGGGGAGUGUGAGGGAUUCGGAAAAAUAGUGGGAGUUACAUUUGUUCUAAAAGAUCUUAGAAUAGAUUAGGACCAAGUACAAAAGUCUAACUAGAAUCUUUACUCUCUGCAGAU